CGGACAGUAAUCGUCCCUAUGCCGAUACUUGGCUGGGGGCUCGGCUGGGGGUUCGCCCCCUCCAGCCCCUGGGGAGCUGGCCGGUUGCGGCGAGCUCCUUUCCUGCUUUGGCAAAGCCGUAGAACCAGCUAUAGGCCCAGCUGGCCCUUCACCUGUAGGCGGGGAGUACACCGAAUGUUCAUAAGGAACGGGAUCCCCACCCUGGACAGACUGUUUUUGCUCAGUCCCCUCUCGAUAAGGCUCAAAAUAAAAAAAUUGUAAAAGCUCCUUGGCUUCAUGGAGACGGGGACACUGCAAAAACAAUUCCUCAGUCAAGUUCCCACAUUCCUCCCUCCACUUCAGAAUUUUGCCGGUCUUAAUUUUAUGUAUAACCGUCAGAAAGGCCUCCUCAUUACAAUAAUUAAUUCUAACCUUCUGCGAGGCCAUAAUCGUCUUUAUAUUAGCAACGAUUAUAUAACAAAAUGAGGAUGAAAUUAAAUACUACCCACGAUUUAACCUAAACCCACCGAUAUAUACAAAACAAGACUGACGGUCUACAAAGUCAUGCAAAUAAAAAAAAUCCCACUUAGGUGCCUACCCAAACAAUCAUUCCUUUUUGCUUGCUUAAUAACUUACUUAGUAUCUUAAAGGAAAAUACUUGCUUACUUAAUAACUUACUUAGUUUCUUAAAGGAAAAUAUUUAAACCCUAUAUCUCAAUGAAAAAUACCGCAAAAUGAUCUCCGCGGUAUAAUGCUUCGGCGAGUGGGCCAAAAAUUACUCCUACUUAGCUGCUUACAACCCUAUGCCAAAUAUUUCUACUUAAACAACCCUAUACCUCACCAAAACACCACGGAAUGAUCUCCACGGUAUAAUGCUUCGGCGAGUGGGCCAAAACUAAUAACUCCUACUUACCAAGUUGUUUACUCAAUCCUACUUUAAACCACCAUAUAACCCCACCGAAAAAACACAGUGAAAUUAUCUCCACGGUACAAUGCUUGGCGAGAUGACCGUAAAAACUAUCCUAACAAGAUUAGUAUAAUGAAGAUGAAUGAAAGUGAAAUUAAGAUUGCUCAAUCAACUCUGAUACAAUUGAAUAAAAAUUAAAAAAAUAAAUAACACGGAACGUAACAAUAACCAGUAUGCAAAUAUCACAAUGCUAACCUAGUCUGUCCGGGAUUGCACAAAAAAACACUUGCAGAAUAUAUUCUUUCUAAAGCUAGAUCGAGAAAAACAAACAAACAGAAAAGACAAAAAAAAAUUAGCAGUCAAUCACAACUAUACUAACCAUACACCCUGCACCAUAAUAAUUGGGAACUUAAUCACCAAUAUCACAUUAAAAUUCCACCUUAAACACGGUUAAAAUCCCUAAACUCUACAAACUAACCUGAGACUAGGCCAAGAAAUAUUGUAUUCCCGUCCUCCGGUCAAGAUACAGACUACGGUAAUAUUUAUGAAGUACAUGUAUUUUCAUGAGAAACAUGAGUUGUAGGUUGAGAAUGGACAGGUGUCACAGGACUAUUGAAUGAGGGGAAAUAGAGUGAGUAGCAGAGGAUUUGAUUUGAUGUUUAAAGGCCUUGGACGCUUGCCGCCACCUUACAGUGUACUCCAUCCAUCCAAUGUAGAGAGUAAUGGGGUUUAUGAUAGCUGCUUCGAAUGCUUCAAUGGUAGUCAGACACUGACCUCAUCUCCCUUUUCAUGCUGUCCCCACCUUUGUGUACAGCUCCAAUCCUGAUACGUUUUGGAUGCAAGGAAGGUGCUUUCGCUCGGCCUCCUAAAGAUGUCUUGUGCUGUCAGCAUUGAUGAGGCGCAGGCCAGUGGUAUCUGUGAGGUCCCACAUUGCAUCCAGGAGUUUCUGGAUGGAGCAGCGUGUCCUUUCAACUCCGCGAGUUCUCCUCUUGCAGUGUUUGGCCAGCUCCGCAGUGGAGAUGUUUGCUGAAACUUGUUUCUCAGUAGGCUCAUGGCUACCGAACUCCUUUUUAAGCUGUUCUCUUUUUGCUUUUCGGAGUUGCCAAAUGUCAUCCUCAUCCCACUCGAAGAUUGCGCUGGAAAGCCUCGAGCAGAAUGCACCAUAGAGAGGAUGGUGCAGAUAUAUUGCAGCAAUCUGUAUCCACGUAUAUGACAUUGGGCUCUGGCUCACCGGGAUCUUGAUAUCUUUUUACAAUACCUUGACACAUCUCUUUCAAACCAGCCCCCUCCUGUAGUCAAAACGCUGUUUAAGAUUUCGCCAUACUCGUUGCCUACAUUUGACAUCCAUCCAGGCAGCAGUGCCAUCAAUGCCACCGGCCAGCUUCUUGGUGAUUUUCUUGGUGGAGUCCAACUUGUGAAUUCUACCAUAGGUGGAGGUGAUGACCCCUUGCAUCUCCUGCACAGGCUGGACGAUCUCGUUUCCAUGAACCGUCUCAAACCACUGUGCAAGAGGAACUGGACGAUAAGCUGGAGGUGGUCAAUAGACAGUGACAGUAGUCACAAGCCUGCUUCCUCUUUUGUGAAGUUCACAAUCAGACCUUCAGGUAUUGAAGGGCACGUCUUCCCCACUCCUCACUGUGAAUUUCCUCCAAACUCUGCCUCAGGUAGCUUGAACUGUUUCCUGCCGUCCUGGGUUUCAUGAGGAAUCGUUAAGAAUCGGUUGGGAAUUUGGUGGAGUCCUCCUCCUCUGAAGAGACUUAGGGGAUCUCCAGGCAGCAUAUGCAGUCUCCUGCAGUGAAUGAUGGCUCUACAUGGCAGUGCAUGGCCACCACUCAGGCACCUGUAUGAAUCAAAACAAAAGGAGAAAGAAAAUCAGCAUCUCAUUUUUUUUCUUCAUCUACAUCUACGUACUUACACAAAACAUCUAGAAAUAUAUAUCAUUCAACUCUCUCAAUUUUUUUUUUAUAAAUUCCCUUUAUUUUCUGUUAUAUUCCUAAAUCUAUUAUGAUUCCUUAUCAAGUCAAUAUUCUGGGUAAAAUUAAAAUACAUAUACAUGCAAUGUGAUGCGUUCGAUGUGCCAAGUUUCUAAGUGAAACUUUGCAUUCUCAAUGGAGGGCCUUAACCUCAUUGUAAAUAACCCCACAACAUUUAGCACAUGGUGAAUCUUUGUCAUGCAUCUUAGUUGAAACUUCAUUCCUACUUGUAGUUUGUCUUGGCUCAACUAUCUUUGCAGCAUUUGUUGUGUCUUUAGAUUCGGCUUUACCACCUCUUUUUUUCAUUUUCUUCAUCUCAUCUUUUUUGUUCUUGGGUAGUAAAUCACCUGAACAGUUACUUGUAGACUCUACUGAGGUGGUACUUUGUCAACUGAUCGACUGGAUUGUGCUCUGCUACUUCUAUCACUCACUAUUGAGUCUGUCUGAUCCGCCAUAUUGGAAAAAUCUCAGCCGAGUCUAGUCAGCUAAUUCCACUGCUAUUUCACUAGUUAUAAUGAACACAUUGCAGUUGUAUUUCAAAAUAAUGAAUGACAAUAGAGAAACAAUAGCCCUUACGGUAUCUGUACAUCGAUUUUAGCAGAGUGAUGUCCAACUAGGAAUCCAGUAUGUGGGACCAGGGUGACCUUCCAUGUAAAGAUGCAGGGUGAUUCAGAAAAUGACAUCAAAAUAUCUGUUUGGAUACUGUAAAAUAUCCCUCCAAAAUCAUCAAUCAGGGUCAUCAGAAUGUAAAUAACAUGAUAAUGUCUAUAAAAGGACAAAUUCCAGUGUGAUUAUAGAGAUGAAAAUGGAUUACGCAGAUACCUUUCAGACUAUUAAAGUCGCCCUGAUCUACAGAUCAUAGGCUACGAUGUAUAACGUCUUAAAUACUACAAAGAGACAAAGAACAGCACUUACCGGUAUAAAGCUCGGAGUGUCUCUCAAGUCUGUACCAGUCAGUGUAUAGCAGUUCUCAAUCUGUCGUCCCAGUGCAAGAAGACUAAUGGCGCCCUCUUGUGGUAGGAGCUUGUAAGAGCUUGUAAAAGCUUGUAUGGGGGUGGGGGCAAUUCCUACUACACUAUUUUCAGACUCCCCUAAUAAUACAUUAUCACCAGGUCCUGAGCCAAGAGGUCAAAAACCUCAUUAAUGUGAUGGAUAGAACCUUCACAUGGCAGGUAAACAGCUCCUAAUAUAUAAUCAAAUCCUAAAUUCUUCUUAUCAAUAUGAAUCCACAAAACAGACUCGGAAGUAGUACCAAAAAUUAUUGUUGUGUAUGGGAAUAAGUCAUCACACACCAAAAUGCAAAGACCGUUAAAACCACCUAACCUACCAUUAUCACUUUCCUUUACAUAACUAUGGAAAUUUGAAAGAUGAGUGCAGAAUAAAUCAGAGUUUGUUUUAGUUUCUGAUAAACAAAUGAUGCUGUUAUCUUUCAAAAUGAAAUCCAGAAUGCCAGCCUUAAGUUUACUUUGAAGUCCGUUGACGUUCAGGCUACAAAUAGAUAGAAUUGGCAAUUUUUCUUUCCAAAGAGGGUAAAACAAGGUUAACAUUUCACAUUCAUCACUCGCUGCUCUUGGGUGGCCAUCAAAGAUAAUCAAAAAAUGAAUGAAGCUUUCCUAGCGAAUCUGUCUUUUGAAUUUUUGAUGUAACAUUCAUAAUGGGUGGACACCAAUUGAAGGAUUAUUAGAAUUUCAUAAAAAUAAUCAUAUCAUUCCAUUAAAAAAAGUUUGGCUUUUGAUUGCAGCCAUCAUUCCCUUCGAAAAUGAAGAGGAGGACAGAAUAGGAAGAGAAAACUGCAGAGCACACGUGUUAGCAAUGGGGAUCUCUGCAGUAUGGAUGUUGGAUAUUGCCUGUCCCUGUGGCUCAAGAUGAUCUCUGGUUUCUCAAUGAAACCAACUGUUGGAAUCUGCUUAGGCUCAUCGAAGAACAUGGCUAAUAGGCCAUGUUCCACAGGUGCAGAUGGAAGCUGCUUAGGUUGCUGGAGGGGCUGAACUUGCUCCCCCAUAUCCACCCCCUGUGGUAGAGAAUCCCGAUCGGCCUUCUUCUGUCGCUUGUGUAACAUACAUGUAGAAGAAAAAUGAAUAAUAAAAAUAAUAUAAUUCCAUUGAAAAAAGUUUAGCUUUUGAUUGCAGCCAUCAUUCCCUCCGAAAACAAGGAAAAGGAUGACAGAAUAGGAAGAGAAAGCUGCAGAGCACACGUGUUAGCAAUUGGAAACUCUGCGGUAUGGAUAUGUGCAAUCGCAAUGCUAUCCCUGUGGCGGAAGAUUCAGCAAUGUAUGGAAACUUUGUGCUAAUCCACAAGCCUGUAUCCUCGCAUGUUAGAUUUGAGUUCUUACAUUUCAGUCGAUGGUAGGCAAUGUAUUGUUUGAUAGCUAUCUUCUCCUGACUCUUUCUCUACUAAAGAAAUGAACAUAUGAUGCUGAUCCAUAGUACCCCAUCACUCGUGAAAUUAUAGAGUGAAUUUUUGAAUUAUUGAUGUAACAUUCUAAAUGGGUGGACACCAAAGGUUGUUUGAGUUUCAUAAAAAUAUUCAUAUUAUUCCAUUGAAAACAAAGUUGGGCUUUUGAUUGCAGCCAUCAUUCCCUCCAAAAACAAUGAAAAGGAGGACAGAAUAGGUAGCGAAAGCUGCAGAGCACAAGUGUUUGCAAUGGGGAACUAUGCGGUUUGGAUGUAAAUGUAGGCAAUUGCAAUGCUGUCCCUGUGGCGGAAGAUGAUCUCGGGUUUCUCAAUAACACCAACUGUUGGAAUCUGCUUCAUGGAUUUUUUAAAUUUAAGCAUGGAUGCCCACCUCAGCCCGCAGACUGUUCUUCUGUAGGACCGUGCACAUACAUAAAAAACAUACAAUAUCAAAAUAACAUAUAUACAACAUAUUACAACAUAAUAAUGAUAAAAUAAAUAUAUACAAAACAAAUACAACAUACACUAAAAAUACAUAUGAAAAUGAAAUAUUUAAAGGGGGACGGGGACUACUCUCUUGGCAAGCUUUUGUCUCGCCAGCAUAUCCCGCUUGAAUCGUAUAGAGACUGUAGACUAUGUUUAUUCAAGCAUAAAGACGAAGCACACGUUCUAAGAUAUUUGGACGUGAAAUCUCUAUGCGCAUGUAGUUCCCAGAGAGUUCUGCUCUGAAAAGUGAGAGCGUGACCAAUCAAUCAUAUAUAUACAUGUAUAUAUAUAUAUAUAUAUAAAUGCUAGCCUUCUAUGACUCCCUUUUGUACUUUGAGCAUGGUACCGUUGAGCAGGAUAAUGGAUGUUGGAGAGGUUCACUCGCAUGUGUUACUUAGUGAGCUGCCUUAUAGAUAUUUCAAUAGGUUUGUACUUAUCCUCUUCAGGAAGACAAACCUGAAGACAUCCAGAAGAUAUAAGUACAAAUUUAUCAAAAUGUCAAGCCCUUACAGAAUUUCAAUCAGAAUGUAGAAAAUAACAGAAAUCAACAAAAAACAAAUACACAUCUAGCUUUUAACGACAUUAUGCCAGUCAUUAUUACUGAGUCUUUCUUCCAAGUCCUCAUCAAGAAUGCUGGCAUCCUCCUCAACGUCACCUUCUGGGCGAUUUGGUUUGAAUUGAUAUGGUUGCACGCCAAGUACAGGGGCAGCUGCAACUGCACCCAAAAUUUCAUCUUCAUGUAGACAUAUGAAUGAACAUCUAGUUCGAGAGUUUUGCCCUCUUGAAGAGUUUUCUUUCAUAAGAAAGCAUGUUUCUCACUGCUUCCCUAAGAAAAUACGAUAAUAAUUUAAUAUAAAUUAAAAUAAUUUAACUUCAUUAGGAAUUUCAUUAUCUGUGAAAGGAUAAGAAAAUCACUUCCCCCGACUUCUUUCUCCUUGGAUGAGUCCAUUGUUUGCAUACCAGUUUUUGAGAUUUGUGAAUUUUUGUGGCCCAAUCUCCAUCAGGUAGAAAAAGGUAUACCGACAGAUCCGUUUUUGCCCAUAGCAAAAAUUCUUCAUCCUCAUAUUUGUCCUUUGCGUUGGCUUAGAUUUCUUCCCCUGGGUCACAUUGCCAUCAUUGAUGGAAGAC